AUGUUGGGUUAAGUCCCGUAACGAGCGCAACCCUUGUCCUUAGUUACCAGCACGUUAAGUGGGCACUCUAAGGAGACUGCCGGUGACAAACCGGAGGAAAGUGGGGAUGACGUCAAGUCAUCAUGGCCCUUACGGCCUGGGCUACACACGUGCUACAAUGGUCGGUACAAAGGGUUGCCAAGCCGCGAGGUGGAGCUAAUCCCAUAAAACCGAUCGUAGUCCGGAUCGCAGUCUGCAACUCGACUGCGUGAAGUCGGAAUCGCUAGUAAUCGUGAAUCAGAAUGUCCACGGUCGAAUACGUUCCCGGGCCUU
rnacentral:rRNA from 1 species